rnacentral:rRNA from 1 species
GGUUAAGUUAGGAAGGGCGCAUGGUGGAUGCCUUGGUACUAGGAGCCGAUGAAGGACGGGACUAACACCGAUAUGCCUCGGGGAGCUGUAAGUAAGCUUUGAUCCGGGGAUUUCCGAAUGGGGCAACCCAAUAGUUUUAAUCGACUAUUAUCCGCAUCUGAAUUCAUAGGAUGUGUGAAGGUAAACGUGGGGAACUGAAACAUCUCAGUACCCACAGGAACAGAAAGAAAAUUNUGAGAAGGCAGACCCGGGGAACUGAAACAUCUAAGUACCCGGAGGAAGAGAAAGCAAAUGCGAUUCCCUGAGUAGCGGCGAGCGAAACGGGAACAGCCCAAACCAAGAAGCUUGCUUCUUGGGGUUGUAGGACUGAACAUUUGAGUUACCAAAGAGCUUGAUAGCUGAAGGGCCUGGGAAGGCCAGCCAGAGAGGGUGACAGCCCCGUAAGUUAAAUCAAACUCCCUCAGUUCAGGAUCCUGAGUACGGCGGAGNGAAGAGGUCUGGAAAGGCCCGCCAUAGGAGGUAACAGCCCUGUAGUCAAAACUUCGUUCUCUCCUGAGUGGAUCCUGAGUACGGCGGAACACGUGAAAUUCCGUCGGAAUCCGGGAGGACCAUCUCCCAAGGCUAAAUACUCCCUAGUGACCGAUAGUGAACCAGUACCGUGAGGGAAAGGUGAAAAGCACCCCGGAAGGGGAGUGAAAUAGUUCUUGAAACCAUGUGCCUACAAGAAGUCAGAGCCCGUUAAUGGGUGAUGGCGUGCCUUUUGUAGAA